rnacentral:lncRNA from 1 species
UGCUGCGUGCUGCAUGCUGGGUGCUGCGUGCUGCUGCGUGCUGCGUGCUGCACAUCCCCACCAUGCCCACGUACCCAUCCCCACCAUGGCCAUGGAACCAUCACGGUUGGAAAAGUCCUCCAAGACCCCCAAGUCCAAUCCCCCCAUCACCGCUGUGCCCAUGGAACCAUCCAGGUUGGGGAAGUCCUCCAAGACCCCCACCAUGCCCAACCCCAACCCAUCCCCACCAUGCCCACAGAACCAUCCAGGUUGGGAAGGUCCUCCAAGACCCCCACCAUGCCCAACCCCAACCCAUCCCCACCAUGGCCACAGAACCAUCAAGGUUGGGAAGGUCCUCCAAGACCCCCAAGUCCAACCCCCUUCCAUCCC